rnacentral:lncRNA from 1 species
CACCAAAUUUUACUUUACUACAUCUCCUCAUCAACAGAAUUCCAUCCAUGUCUUCACAGAUCAAAACAACACAAUAAAACCAUAUAGAACAGCCCCAACAAUCAAGCCAUAUUAAGAGAGGUUUCUUAAAAAAAAUCAAGAAUAUUUCUAUAGAGGUUUCAACUAUUUCUUAAGAAUUCUAAUGGUAGAAGUUUACAAAGAUCAAAGAGAAGUUAAAUCAUACCUUAUGUGACCAGAAUUACUCAAAAUUCGAAAUUACUUCAAGGCGGAGUCUUGCUAUGAAAAGUGAAACACCGAAGAAUUCACGAUUCCGAAGCUACCAUGGUGUUCUCCAUCUUGAGGAUGACUAAAUUGUUGUUAUGCUUGGCUAGAUGGAUGGGAGAAGUUUGAGAGGAAAUCCCUUGGUUUUUGGUUCUGUUUUGG